UGCCGGAUAGUUCAGUUGGCAGAACGUCUGACUCUGGAUCAGAAGGUCCUAGGUUCGAAUCCUAGUCCGGCAG
rnacentral:tRNA from 1 species